GGGCGUGUAGUGUAGCUUGGAUAUCACCUCGGACUUCUAAUCCGAGAACACGGGUUCAAAUCCUGUCACGCCCGCCA
rnacentral:tRNA from 1 species